rnacentral:rRNA from 1 species
GACGAACGCUGGCGGCGUGCCUAAUACAUGCAAGUAGAACGCACAGGAUGCACCGUAGUUUACUACACCGUAUUCUUGAGUUGCGAACGGGUGAGUAACGCGUAGGUAACCUGCCUGGUAGCGGGGGAUAACUAUUGGAAACGAUAGCUAAUACCGCAUAAGAACAUUUACUGCAUGGUAGAUGUUUAAAAGGUGCAAAAGCAUCACUACCAGAUGGACCUGCGUUGUAUUAGCUAGUUGGUGAGGUAACGGCUCACCAAGGCAACGAUACAUAGCCGACCUGAGAGGGUGAUCGGCCACACUGGGACUGAGACACGGCCCAGACUCCUACGGGAGGCAGCAGUAGGGAAUCUUCGGCAAUGGGGGGAACCCUGACCGAGCAACGCCGCGUGAGUGAAGAAGGUUUUCGGAUCGUAAAGCUCUGUUGUUAAGGAAGAACGUGUGUGAGAGUGGAAAGUU